rnacentral:lncRNA from 1 species
UUAGACCACCUCCAUAUCCUUCUCCACCUUCUGCAUCAACCCUCUGGCCAUUAAAAUAUUAAACCCAUGUACUUGCAAUAAACACCUCUGUUCUCAGACUGAGAGACAGAACCGAGCCGUAGCACAGAGUCACCCAUCGUCAAAAAGGGAUAAAAUUAAGACGUGCCCUCCCAGCAUGGGACAGCUGAAGCGAUGUCACUCAACAUGCUGUCAGCGCAGUGAUUGAGGUGGACAGGAGGGCUGGGACCAGCCACAGGCUGUAAAGGACACAGGCAGGUGGGAGGACGUGGCGAUGGGGUGGGCUGGCCUGGGGGUAGGCGAUACAAAAGGGACCGUGCUGGCAGGGAGCAAGAGGGGAUGGCAGGAGAGCGUUUUGGGGGACAGCAAUGCAGGGAGGGGAUGAAAGACCAGGAGGAUGUGUGUGAAGAGCAAACGAUGCCAAGGCUGCAGAAAGCUGGUCUGCCCCAUGCAGGAUGAGACAGCAAUGCUGGUGGAAAUUCCUUAGCAAUAGAAGUAGCUAUUAGGGAGUUGAAAGGAUGCUAAAGCAAGGUAGGGGAAAUGAGCCCAGGCAGUAUAAAACUGAGCGAGAGGUGGGGAAAUUAACACAAAUGUCUCUAGGGAGAAGGAAAAUAUAGAAACUGUGGUAAAGAGGAGAGGGGGAAUUGCCUAUGUCCCCAUGCUAAACAGCAUGAGGGGUCAGUAGUUUAAGCUGCUGUGAGCGCUUUUUUAGUCUCAGCCUUUGCUAAGGGACUCUUCAGCAACCCAAAGCGUAGGCCAUGUGCUGGACAGCAUUUCUGACCACAUCAGCUCCUGUUUCCUUGGGGAAACCUUGAUGAGGAGGAAGACAGCCCACGCUGAAGAUGCCAGCCCAGGUGGCACUGGUGGCACAGGGCACAGGGAAGCGAUGCAGGACCCAGGAGAUGCGGAUGAAGAAACCAGCUGCUGCUUUGCUGAAGCAUGCUAUAGUUUUUCAGAAUUUCAUGUGUAUCAAAACAAGUCCAAGACACAUCCAGGGUGCACGUCCAUGCACACAAAGACUCUAGCCUUUGGCACUGCCCAAUGGCACAAACAGGAGCACUUGCAAAUGAUAACCACCAGAAAAGCUGAAAAUAUACCUCCAAAACAUCCAGAACUGACCGAGGGCACCAGAGAAAAUUCAGUAUUUUUGUGCUCCCACUGUUUUCCCCAAGAGAAGGCAGACCACCAGCUCUGAAACCCGCCUGAGGAGCAACACUACCUCUUCAGGAGUGGAGGGUGGGCAGCUGUCCUGGUGCCCCCAGGUCGCGAGCCGGACUUCUCUUAUGAGAUGACAUGCUUCUUUAUAUCCCCAUAUGGACUAGGCUGCUAUGGAAUGUAAGGAAGUGUGUGGUUUCAGGGAGACAUCGCCAGUGUCCUCUGCUUCCAGCUACUGCGAGGAGUCAAAAGCUUUUCUGUGUCUGCAUUUUAUCUGAAUUUGACGUUGUUCACAAAAGUCAGGCAUUAUAUUCACUCUGCAGUGCCAGUGGAAAGUACACAGGGAUCUGCAAAUCUCAAAAAGUCCCAAGUUCAUUCCAAUAUGACACCAAAGAUGUAUCCUGCAUGAACUUUUCCAGCAAAUCACCUAUCUGAAUAGAUUUGGGCUCCUGAACAAAAUGUUUACACUGUCCCCCAAGAGCAUUUCAAAGGGAUUUUGAGUAUCACUACAUCCCAGAUAGGCUCAGUAAUCGCCAUCCAUUCUCAACUGGUGGAAAAUGCUUUGGGUUUAGUGACAUGGAGAAAGAAUUACAUGGCUCUGGAUAGGAAUUUCCUGCCAGGAGUGAGGAUUAUGUGUGAGCAAUCCAGAACCCAGUGACAAAACUCUCCUCCCUACCCCCAGUAAUUCAUAACAAGGUCCUCAGGAAUGGGGUUAAAAUGAAUGUUAUGGGUGUAGGAUUUGCUGUGCUGGAUUGAUCGAGACAAAUUCAGUACCCUGUCCCUCUGGAACUAUUGGCAUCACAGCACAGCAGCAGACAGACAGAGCAGGAUGGGUUAUAGAGAAAUUUGCCUCCUAUCUGAUGCCAUGGAGCAAAGCAGGCACGCAGCCUUUUCAAAAACAAUGCAGUUUCUUUUCUUAAAUUUGUAUUAUUAUAGCUCAGGAUGUUCCCUCUACAUGCACAUAUGCCUCAUCCUCUUUUUUGCUCUACUGAUGCUGCAUAGCAAUGAGGUCAGUAUAAUUUUGAGUAGCUGCAAGACUGCAUCCAAAACAGCCUGGAGAUUUCCUAGAAAUCCCGAGUACCCUGUUACACUCAGAUGAAGAGCUCAAACCAUUUCUGAUACAUUACCUUACUCCUCUAUGAGUGAAAUACUCAUAACUUUAAGCAAAGUUUACUCACAACUUUUCAAUGUUUGUUUUAAGAAAGCAUCUAGGAAAUCAUUUGAGGCUAUGCAGCAAUAGGAACUGCUGUUAACAUUAUGGUCCAGGUAUGGAAAGGUUUUCAGACCCUUAUUUCCCAUAGGAAAUUGUCAGAAUUCUGCCCAAAAAUGCACUCAACUGACCUGAUCUACUUAAAAGCUUAAGGACAUGUCUACACUGCAGUGAUUGAUGCUCACAGCUUAAUUUUAACCAGGCAAUGCGUGGUACUGCCAGCAGGCAGAUCUAGUAACACAGAAAAUUCACACACAUGCAUUUGCCCAGCUUCCAGGCAAGUUGUGUAGUUCAGCAGGCCACACUCUGCUGUAGGCAAUACUGGAGCCAGCAUACUUUAGUCACUGCGCUUAUAUUCCUUGCCCUCAUACUCUGCAGAGGUGUUGGCAUCUAGGAGUCCAAGUUUCACCAACUACAUCACUUGUCCUCAAAUCAAGUGGCAAAAAAAAAAUGAUUGUCCAGCUCAUUCAUCUUCUUAAAUAGAUGGUCAUCAUAAAACCUUCCCCCUAAGAAUGGCCUGGAUGUGCCAGUCCUAAAUCAAGUUUGGGAACUGCUAGGGUCAGUGCUAGUCGAGGCAAGUCAAAACUGUGCCAACAGCUGUGCUCAACACAGCAGAAACCACUGAGUUCCUGUGCUUGUAUCUCAGCACUAUUUAGUAUACCAAUAUAGACCUUGAAACCAAUGACAUUUAUGUUCCUCAGUCACCAAGAUGCUUUGCAAAAUUUCGGUCUGAAUCAAAAUGAAGGUUUCUGCAUCUGACCCAAGCCCUGUGGUCUCCUAGAUGUAUAAUUUAGGAAGGUGCUUAUCAAGCAUUAUUUCAACAUACACUUUCUCUAUAGAUUUAAUGCUUAGGAUAUGAAGAAUACUUUAGAAAAAAAACACAGUAGAGGAAAAUGACCCUUUUUUCUUUAAUGGUAACAACUGCCACACGAGGGAAUAAAUCCCGACCUCUGUCUUCUCCCUGGCUUUGU